AUUGAACGCUGGCGGUAGGCCUAACACAUGCAAGUCGAGCGGAUGAAGGGAGCUUGCUCCUGGAUUCAGCGGCGGACGGAUGAGUAAUGCCUAGGAAUCUGCCUGGUAGUGGGGGAUAACGUCCGGAAACGGGCGCUAAUACCGCAUACGUCCUGAGGGAGAAAGUGGGGGAUCUUCGGACCUCACGCUAUCAGAUGAGCCUAGGUCGGAUUAGCUAGUUGGUGGGGUAAAGGCCUACCAAGGCGACGAUCCGUAACUGGUCUGAGAGGAUGAUCAGUCACACUGGAACUGAGACACGGUCCAGACUCCUACGGGAGGCAGCAGUGGGGAAUAUUGGACAAUGGGCGAAAGCCUGAUCCAGCCAUGCCGCGUGUGUGAAGAAGGUCUUCGGAUUGUAAAGCACUUUAAGUUGGGAGGAAGGGCAGUAAGUUAAUACCUUGCUGUUUUGACGUUACCAACAGAAUAAGCACCGGCUAACUUCGUG
rnacentral:rRNA from 1 species